AAAAUCUUUGAAAAAAAGAACUGUGAGAUAAUACAUGUUGUUUUAAACUGCAAGGUGGACACAUUGCAUUCUAUUCGGUUCAACUUGACCCAGCACGGAUGUGAAGUCAGGCUGCAGGGUGGGAGUCGGCUGCAGCUACCCAUUUUCUAGCUGGAUGUGGGCUGCCUCCUAGAGAGGUUUCCAGGCUCCCGUUCUACAACCUGGAAUCCCAGGAGUUCGACUCAGAUGCAGAGUCUCAUUUUCAGAAGUGUCACAUCUGUAUAACUAUACAGCUGGGGAUAUCAGUAGCUCAGGAAAAGAACCUGGCACGAGCCCAACAUCUGAAUUUAGAAGCACCCAGCAGAAGAAAACAGCGGCUGCUCGCUGGAAGACAGG